UACGAAGGGUGCAAGCGUUACUCGGAAUUACUGGGCGUAAAGCGUGCGUAGGCGGUUUGGUAAGUCUGAUGUGAAAUCUAUGGGCUCAACUCAUAGUCUGCAUCGGAAACUGCCGGGCUUGAGUGUGGGAGAGGUGAGUGGAAAUUCCUGGUGUAGCGGUGGAAUGCGUAGAGAUCCGGAAGAACACCGGUGCGAAGGCGGUGAGC
rnacentral:rRNA from 1 species